rnacentral:ncRNA from 1 species
CGAAAAUAGAGUGGCAGGGUGGUGUCUCCUGCGCCCCGACGGGUUCUUCCCUGCCACGG